AGAGUUUGAUCCUGGCUCAGAAUCAACGCUGGCGGCGUGCCUCAGACAUGCAAGUCGAACGCGAAAGGCCCCUUCGGGGGCCGAGUAGAGUGGCGCACGGGUGAGUAACACGUAGGUAAUCUACCUCUGGGUGGGGAAUAACGACCGGAAACGGUCGCUAAUACCGCAUAAUGCAGCGGCACCACAUGGUGACAGUUGUUAAAGCGGGGGAUCGUAAGACCUCGCGCCUAGAGAUGAGCCUGCGGCGGAUUAGCUAGUUGGCAGGGUAACGGCCUACCAAGGCAACGAUCCGUAGCCGGCCUGAGAGGGCGGACGGCCACACUGGCACUGACAUACGGGCCAGACUCCUACGGGAGGCAGCAGUCGGGAAUUUUGGGCAAUGGGCGAAAGCCUGACCCAGCAACGCCGCGUGAAGGAUGAAGCUUCUCGGAGUGUAAACUUCAUAAGAAUGGGACGAAUAAGGAGGGGUUAACACCCCCUUUGAUGACGGUACCAUUUGUAAGCUCCGGCUAACUCCGUGCCAGCAGCCGCGGUAAUACGGGGGGAGCAAGCGUUGUUCGGAUUUACUGGGCGUAAAGGGCGCGUAGGCGGCGCAACAAGUCACUUGUGAAAUCUCCGGGCUUAACCCGGAGCGGCCAAGUGAUACUGUCGUGCUAGAGUGCGGAAGGGGCUACUGGAAUUCUCGGUGUAGCGGUGAAAUGCGUAGAUAUCGAGAGGAACACCUGCGGCGAAGGCGGGUAGCUGGGCCGACACUGACGCUGAGGCGCGAAAGCCAGGGGAGCGAACGGGAUUAGAUACCCCGGUAGUCC
rnacentral:rRNA from 1 species